GAUGAACGCUGGCGGCGUGCCUAACACAUGCAAGUCGAACGGAAAGACGAUGAGCUUGCGCCUUUGACGUUAGCGGCGGACGGGUGAGUAACGCGUGGAUCACCUACUUAUAAGUCGGGGAUAACUACGGAAAACCGGAGAUAAUACCGGAGCAUAUAUUGAACCGCAUGGUGCAAUGGAGAAAGACGGCUUUGCUGGCUGUUAUAGAUGGUUCCGCGCCGCAUUGGCGGGUUGGUAAGGUAACGGCUUACCAAGGCAACGAUGCGUAGCCGAUCUGAGGGGGUGAUCGGCCACCCUGGAACUGAGACACGGUCCAGACUCCUACGGGAGGCAGCAGUAGGGAAUCUUGCGCAAUGGGCGAAAGCUUGACGGAGCAACGCCGCGUGAGUGAUGAAGGUCUUCGGGUCGUAAAGCUCUGUUAUUAGGGAAGAACAAAUGUGUGAGUAUCUCUGCACGUCUUGACGGUACCUAAUCAGAAAGCCACGGCUAACUUCGUG
rnacentral:rRNA from 1 species